rnacentral:rRNA from 1 species
AUUGAACGCUAGCGGGAUGCUUUACACAUGCAAGUCGAACGGCAGCGCGGACUUCGGUCUGGCGGCGAGUGGCGAACGGGUGAGUAAUGUAUCGGAACGUGCCCAGUAGCGGGGGAUAACUACGCGAAAGCGUAGCUAAUACCGCAUACCCCCUACGGGGGAAAGCAGGGGAUCGUAAGACCUUGCACUAUUGGAGCGGCCGAUAUCGGAUUAGCUAGUUGGUGAGGUAACGGCUCACCAAGGCGACGAUCCGUAGCUGGUUUGAGAGGACGACCAGCCACACUGGGACUGAGACACGGCCCAGACUCCUACGGGAGGCAGCAGUGGGGAAUUUUGGACAAUGGGGGCAACCCUGAUCCAGCCAUCCCGCGUGUGCGAUGAAGGCCUUCGGGUUGUAAAGCACUUUUGGCAGGAAAGAAACGGCGCGGGCUAAUACCCCGUGGAACUGACGGUACCUGCAGAAUAAGCACCGGCUAACUACGUG